GGCAUUUGAAUUUCUUCUUUUGUUUGUGCAUCUUCAUCCCAUGCUUUCUGUUGGUCAACAACCAACCAAACCACAUUUCCGAACUUUCAAGUCUUUCUAAAGCAAGAAAGCAGAACCGAAAUAAUAUUCCAUUUCUAUGAAUCAAUUCUUUGAAGAACUAAGGGCUUAUAAUUGUUAACCACUCUUUAGAAUAAAUUACUUAAAACAGUGAACCACUCUUUAGAAUAAAUAAGUAAAAAAUAACUCAAAAUUUUGACACAUGCUCGUUCUAUAGCCCCCAAUCAGCUUGAUACCUUUUCGUAGCACCGCAAACUAACUAGUUUAUUCUAGAACCUCGCUAAGGAGAGAGUCCAGUUGCUUCCAAUAGCUUCAGUCAAGCUAUUAAAAUAAAAAGAAUCCAUUUCUGAUUUCAUUUUUUAGUUUGGCUUGCUUUAGUAAGACCUGCAUUCAAUGUAAAAAAUGAAGUCAGUAUGAGCCUGGUCCUUUCGAACCCGCUACGCCCUGGGAUAUCAGUAAGAUAAUCUUUCUAUCAUAUUAGUAAACUAUUAGCGUACCAAAGCUCAAGCGAGCCAGUUACAGGCCACUUCUUCCUCUAUUCGAUUUUGCUUCUUCCCAGGCCCAAGUAGCUUUGGUUCUUGUUGAAGCAUUGCCGGAAGCUUCACUCUGUGUAAAGUAAGGACUUAGCUUUUACGGGGAAAUCCCCGAAUGGGGACCUUAGGAGCUUUGUUCAGCACUGACCUUUUCUAGACCGGUCAAAUCAGAUCCCUGCAUAGAAGUUCAGUUUCAAAGCGCUACUAAUCUCCAAAUAUGUCGUUUCGUAUUUGAUUCGGUCAACUCCCGUCCCAUCUUUUCACAAAUAAACUUCUUCCCUGCUUUUUGGGAUACUAAAUGAAGCCCUUUACCGGCAGUCCUUUGUAAUGCCCGAACCCGGUCUAUUACCCAUUCUAAAUUCUACAGAUAACCCUUCCCAUGACUACUUCUUGUCGUAAGACAGUUCGCUUUCCCGAUUGGCUGGGGCUUAGACAAGACUUAAAAAUAAGCACUAAAGGCCUGGUGAAGCUCCACCUUUCUCUCCAAUUUCCCCUUCCCCCACGAUCUAUAAGCAGGAAUUAUUUAUCGACAGGAUUUGACCUGAACUCUCCUCUCUGUACCGUAUCUAUCUCUUCUAGCAAGCUAGAAAGAGAGUGAAAAGCUUUUCCUUCUCCCACGUUAAGUGUUCCCGGAUCACUAACAAGAACUAAAAAAGUCUUGUAUAAAGGAGUGUAUCCUAGCUAAAAAGAAAGAUGUAAAAUUAAGCUACUAACGCUUUCAUUAAGAUUGGCUAGCUUCCAUAAAUGAGACCAGAGAUGGGGGCGAUAGAUAUGGAGGAAUCUUAGACCUUUCCAAUGGUCGAGGGAAUCGAAAAUAAGCAUUUCACGAGCGAACUACAUGGUUCAUUCGCCCCUACUUGGGCUUGGAAAAAAACAGCUUCUUUUGCUCGCUACGGAACGGUUAUCGCAUUUUCUUCUUUUGACUUCAGUCCCUUUGCUUAUAUUGGAUGGAGGUAACGGGCCACCACACCACUCUGAUUAGCCUUGCGAUUAUUGGUCUCAUUUGGUUCUGCAACCUCACUCAACCCUAACCCUCUCCUCACACCCACAGCCCUGACCGGAAGUAGAGUACAGUUUGAGAUAGGAAUCGAUGACCAAUCGAAAGAUUGAUUAGCUCGAGUGAGAAGUCCGAAGAGAAACGCAUUCCUCCUUUCUUGAUUCAAUUCCUUAGCGCAUCACCCUUACUGUUCGCCGUAGAAAGGACGGUAUUCGUAUACUGAUUGCACCUACCAGGCAGGACGGAUUGGCUUAAGACCGGAAUGUUUGACUUAACCAUUCCUUUACUUGAUUUGGGAAAGCUUCUAGCUCUCUGUACUCCACGCUAAGGAACUCAGUCAUGAAAUAGCGGAUCUCUCUCAUAACAGAAGGAAAGCAAAAAGUACCCUAUCGACCGAAGCUACACAAAUCCUUAACUACUGAAUAACUAAUACUAAUGGAAGGGCGUUAAGCUACCGAUGAAGCAAACAAGGGCCACCAGAAGAACGGCAUCCGUUUGUUUUCCACAAGACAGUUGCGAGAGACCAAUUCUCGAUAGAGGAGAGUACGACAGAAGACAGGGCGAGACGAGCUAUUGAAAGGCUUCAAUUUACAGGUAAAGGACAAACUGAUUGCAUCUACCGGGCACAGGACUUAUUGGCUUAAGAAGGAAGCCAAGGAAAGAAGGGAUUCGCUUAAAGGACUUUCCAUAUUAGGAAAGGGAAUCUAUCUAUUUGAAGGGUCGGUGUAAUUGAGCAGAAAUCGAAGUAAUUCUAAUAGAACUGAGCCGGGAAGGACAACGGAAAGAUUCAGUCCUUUCCAUUAAUUGAUUCGUCUUUUUCCUCGAGCUGUACUUCUUUCCGCCUUACAGGUUUAUCCAGAAGUCAA
rnacentral:lncRNA from 1 species